UCACUCUGUCUAUUAUAAAUAGCAAAACUCACCACACCAAAAUCAGUAAGUCAAUCACUACUGAUAGUCAAAUGAUAAACCUUAAGUUUUUGUUGUUGUAAAACAAGGCGUGAUCUGAAAGGAAAUGGAUUUGGUAACAGUUCUACGCUUGAUCUGAUGUUUGAAAAUAAUAUUAUCACCAUUUUCGACAACUGGUCUGUUGACAGAAAAAUACAAUGUGUCUGCUGUAUUAAAAUAAAGUUCAGGGCCAUUCGUUCUAGUUCCCUACGGAAAAAUAUAAACAUUGUUUUUUUUUUUGGAACGGGCUUGCUACCUAUUGUCGAAUGUUUACUUUACAACUUAUCAAAAAAAAACAUAAUCAUAACGAAAAGGGUAAGUGUGCCGGUGACCGGACACCACCCAGUGAUCGGACACUACUCAGGAUUUGCAUUUAAACUAAGAAAAUCGUUAAAACUGGGAUGCUUAGAAAAAAUUGAAUCGAAGCAGCCAACGAUUUCUAACGGUAUGACAAGCAUAGAUUUCUGAUAAUGGCGUCGCUGACUUAUUUAAAGAAAUUUUAGUUGGUGCACGUAUCGCAAUGUGUGAUUCAGUUAUUUUUUUUUUGCUAAUGGCCUAGAGAUUUUUGCAAGCAGGAACUAUAAGUUAUUGUGUCUAAAAGCAUGUUAAUAAAUAUUUAGUUUUGAAUAUAUAUGUCCGCACACUGGAUGUUUGAUGUCCGGUUAUUGAAGAAAUGCGGCUUAUUUCAAAAAAAAAUCUUUAAUAAAGAAAAUUAGUCUUGUUUAUAAAA